rnacentral:rRNA from 1 species
UACGUAGGGGGCAAGCGUUAUCCGGAUUUACUGGGUGUAAAGGGAGCGUAGACGGUACUGCAAGUCUGGAGUGAAAACCCGGGGCUCAACCCCGGGACUGCUUUGGAAACUGUGGAACUAGAGUGCAGGAGAGGUAAGUGGAAUUCCUAGUGUAGCGGUGAAAUGCGUAGAUAUUAGGAGGAACACCAGUGGCGAAGGCGGCUUACUGGACUGUAACUGACGUUGAGGCUCGAAAGCGUGGGGAGCAAACAGG